rnacentral:rRNA from 1 species
AGUAUGUAUGGGGAUCUGCCUGAUGGGGGGGGAUAACUACUGGAAACGGUAGCUAAUACCGCAUAAUGUCUGCGGACCAAAGCGGGGGACCUUCGGGCCUCUUGCCAUCGGAUGUGCCCAGAUGGGAUUAGCUAGUAGGUGGGGUAACGGCUCACCUAGGCGACGAUCCCUAGCUGGUCUGAGAGGAUGACCAGCCACACUGGAACUGAGACACGGUCCAG